rnacentral:rRNA from 1 species
GCCGUCAGCGGCGGACGGGUGAGUAACACGUGGGCAACCUGCCUGUAAGACUGGGAUAACUCCGGGAAACCGGGGCUAAUACCGGAUAAUUCUUUUCCUCACAUGAGGAAAAGCUGAAAGAUGGCAUCUCGCUAUCACUUACAGAUGGGCCCGCGGCGCAUUAGCUAGUUGGUGAGGUAACGGCUCACCAAGGCCACGAUGCGUAGCCGACCUGAGAGGGUGAUCGGCCACACUGGGACUGAGACACGGCCCAGACUCCUACGGGAGGCAGCAGUAGGGAAUCUUCCGCAAUGGACGAAAGUCUGACGGAGCAACGCCGCGUGAGUGAUGAAGGUUUUCGGAUCGUAAAACUCUGUUGUCAGGGAAGAACAAGUACCGGAGUAACUGCCGGUACCUUGACGGUACCUGACCAGAAAGCCACGGCUAACUACGUGCCAGCAGCCGCGGUAAUACGUAGGUGGCAAGCGUUGUCCGGAAUUAUUGGGCGUAAAGCGCGCGCAGGCGGUUCCUUAAGUCUGAUGUGAAAGCCCCCGGCUCAACCGGGGAGGGUCAUUGGAAACUGGGGAACUUGAGUGCAGAAGAGAAGAGUGGAAUUCCACGUGUAGCGGUGAAAUGCGUAGAGAUGUGGAGGAACACCAGUGGCGAAGGCGACUCUUUGGUCUGUAACUGACGCUGAGGCGCGAAAGCGUGGGGAGCAAACAGGAUUAGAUA